rnacentral:rRNA from 1 species
AGUAACGGCGAGUGAAGCGGCAACAGCUCAAAUUUGAAAUCUGGCCUCUUUGGGGUCCGAGUUGUAAUUUGUAGAGGAUGUUUCGGGUACCGCCUCGGUUUAAAUUUCUUGGAACAGAAUGUCAAAGAGGGUGAGAAUCCCGUCUUGGACCGGCGGUAGGGCCCAUGUGAAACUCCUUCGACGAGUCGAGUUGUUUG